GGCGCGCAGGCGCAGGAGGGUGGGUGUAGAAGAGGCGCGCAGGCGCAGGAGGGGCGAGAGAGGCGCGCAGGCGCGGGCCGCGUGGCGGUACUUCGAAGAAAGACUUGGCGACGCCCGGACGCUGCUCGUGGUGCUCGAAGUAGCACAUCUUGGUUUGGACAGGCCACAUUGUGGCCAGUGGCUGCCAUAUUGGACAGCACUGGUAUAAGAGGGUCCAUCUCUCACUCCCACAUCAAUGUCCAAUGGUUUCUCAUUCAACUGGAAAGUGAAAUUGGAAAUCUCACGAAAGAUGAAGAAUUAUGAAUGUGGUAUGUUGAACUGCUGGGCCCACCCACAAGACAUCGACACAUGAAGGUACAGAAGGGUUAAACCAGUUAACACUGAACAAAGGACAAUGGAUGUGAUGAGUCACAGGCUGAGUUGUACUCCUCUACAGUUCACAUGUUGAAGUCCUAACCUUUAGUACCUCAGGAUAUAACUUCUUUGGAAACAGGAUCAUUACAGAAGUUAAAAUGAGGUCAUUAGGGUGGGCUCUAAUCUUAUUAACCUGUCCUUAUAAAAGGGAAAUUUGAACACAGAGACACCCACAGGGAAGAUGAUGUGAAGACACAGAGAGAAGACAGCCAUCAGCAAGCCAAGGAGAGAGGUCUGGAAUGGAUCCUCCCCUCACAGCCCUCAGAAGGAACCAAGCCAAUCAGCCUUUCAAUCUCACAGUUUUAGCAUGCAGAUCUGUGAGACAAUACAUUUAUGUUGUUUAAGCCCUCCAGUCUGUGGUACUUUGUUAUGUAGCCCCAGCAAACUAAAACAUGGGUUGGCUGGUGGCAUUAGAACAAUUUGCCCAGGAGAAGGUUACAGGCAGCCUAUAGGACAAUUGAAGAUGCAUUCUACUUUCUGCCUGCAUUGUGCAUCUAGU